UACGGGGGGGGCAAGCGUUGUUCGGAAUUACUGGGCGUAAAGGGCUCGUAGGUGGCCAACUAAGUCGGACGUGAAAUCCCUCAGCUUAACUGGGGAACUGCGUCCGAUACUGGAUGGCUUGAGUUUGGGAGAGGGAUGCGGAAUUCCAGGUGUAGCGGUGAAAUGCGCAGAUAUCAGGAGGAACACCGGUGGCGAAGGCGGGUCUCUGGGCAACAACUGACGCUGAGGAGCGAAAGCGUGGGGAGCGAACAGG
rnacentral:rRNA from 1 species